ACAACUUUUAACAACGGAUCUCUUGGCUCUCGCAUCGAUGAAGAACGCAGCGAAAUGCGAUAAGUAAUGUGAAUUGCAGAAUUCAGUGAAUCAUCGAAUCUUUGAACGCACCUUGCGCUCCUUGGUAUUCCGAGGAGCAUGCCUGUUUGAGUGUCAUGA
rnacentral:rRNA from 1 species